UACUGCAGGUAGCUAAUCCGCAGCCACCUGCUUCUGGAGAUCAGGGUGUCCUGGAAUGGAGGGGCAUGGCAACCCUCUGAAUGCGACGGAAGCGGUUUUGAAGCGGCCCAGGAGUGUUGCUUCAAGGAAGCCAAGGUCCAAGGAGCAGCUAGUUUCUGAGUACAAGGACAUCUCGUGCACACCUUCAUCGCGGAGCAUCUCUCCGGAUGAUGAUGGUGGCGUUGAGGGCAGUGGCCAUCGGAGGAAGGAGUUGUACCUCAAUGGACCUGAAUCUAGGGGCUCCACACCACACAGGAGUGAUGCAUCCAAGAAGAUAAAGAGAGAUGAUAGAGCUGGAGGAGACCAUGAUGGGCACAAUAAGAGCAGCAAAUCAAAGGAUGCCAAGCGUAGUAGUGAGGGAGUCCUGGCUCUUGCCUGCACAAAAAACUCUGGAUCCCCUGAUGGCCAGCCUUUGCCCCCAAAAGACGCUAGUGUGCCAACUGAACAUAAGGUGAGAAAAGUAAAGCUAAAGGUUAGCGGGAUUACUCGACCCAUACAAACGAAAACCAUCCAGGAGGCGAAUGAUGAUGGCAAGCUUAGCACAUCAGACGGCUCUGUUCACCGUCACAAGCAAAAGGAUUCUGGUGGGCAGAAACACCACCAAGACAAGCAUGAUGUUUCACCAUCUUCUGACCUUGUUCGCAAGAGCAAAAGGGUUCCUAAGAAGCGAACACUUGAUGGCGAUUCUGGUGAUGAAGAUGGUAGAUCAGGUUAUCUUGUAAAAUUUAAGAUAGCUAAGGUUGUGCCAGAACAAUCUAUAGCUACUAAUCAUGCUGGAGUGUAUGAUGAAUCUCCUGAAGAUGAUGUUAAGAAAAAGAAGCUGGUCAAGGUUUCCAAAAACAAGAGCCUUCCAUAUGAAGUGGAUGAAGACUUCACUAUGUCCCGAUCUGGCAGGGAUGGUAGGAAGAAGUUGAAACUGGGGGAUGGCAGUGAUUUUAUUGAAGAGGAGGAACCUGAGAUGGAUGAGCCAAAGAAAAGACUAAGCGAAGCUGAUUCACCUUCAGAUGUAAAGAAUGAAACUCCUGGUCUUAUAACCAGGCAGCGUGCUCUUCAAGGCAGGGGUGGGAAUGGUGAUACUUUGAUUGAAUUUCCUGAUGGAUUACCAACUGCUUCAUCAAGAAAGCAAAAGGAGAAGCUUUCUGAAGUGGAGGUACAAGCCAAAAAAGCAGAAGCGGCUCAGAGGCGUAAGAUGCAAGUUGAGAAGGCUGAGAGGGAACAACAGGCUGAAGCAAUGAGGAAAAUCCUGGGUAUUGACACAGAGAAGAAAAAAGAGGAGAAGAAACAGAAAGAGAGGGAUGAGAAGGAAAAGCAAGAAAAAAUAGAAGAAUAUAAAAGAAACUGCAUCCAGUGUGUCAUGGGGCCAGAAGGAACUGUUGUUACAUUCCCUGAGAAUAUGGGCCUUCCAAGCAUAUUUAACUCCAAGCCUACCAGCUAUCCACCUCCAAGGGAGAAAUGUGCAGGCCCUUCUUGCACAAACCCAUACAAGUACCGUGACUCCAAGACAAAGCUUCCACUCUGCAGCUUGCAGUGCUACAAGGCUGUCCAGGGAAGUUCUGAGACGCUAACAUGCUGAAAGGAUGACUGUUUGUGGAGAUGGAGAAUUGUGCUAGUUCCAUUUGCCACCUCGCUGCUUGUUGUUGUGUUGCCUUUGUUACCCUGCCAGUCCCUGACAAUUGAUCAGCCAACAGAGGUGGUGUCGCCUGCUUCAGUCUCAAUUAAGGAUUCAAUUUAGGUGUUGGUGAUUACAAACACCUGUUUGUAACAAGCUACUAGCUUGAGAUGGGCUACAACUUUUAUGGGCCAAACUGAGAACACCAGAAUAUGGGCUGGGCCUAGCCCACAUGCAACUGAUGCUACUUCUGCCGUAGCAUUAAGCCAGCCAGAUAAGUACAUGCUGCCACCAUACCAAAACAAACAAAAGAUUAUACUCAACCGAUCUAUGAAGUAUGAACUGGUGACAGCCUAAUAUGUCAUACUAGUAGUAAAUAAAAUGUACAGGCACGCACAGUUGCAGGCACUUCGCUAAAGCUGCCGAUGCAAUCGUGUUGACCAGAAAAAGAUGAACACGUCCUGUACGUUCGAUUCGUUUGGAUAUGAUCGCACUAUGCAAACGUGUUGACUCCUUCCCUCUCCGAUCCAUUCCAUCUCAUUGCCUUAGCCAUCAUGUAAAAUAGCAAGAGGAUAACCAAAAAGUGAUGGGUGUUUUUGUAUGCAUGCUUGUUUACUACUCCAAGUCAACCAAGCCUUUGAGUGGCCCAAAGCCCCAAACUCUCCAAGACGAAUUGACCUCUUGCU